rnacentral:rRNA from 1 species
UACGUAGGGGGCGAGCGUUGUCCGGAAUCACUGGGCGUAAAGGGCGCGUAGGUGGCGGGUCAAGCGUGCGGUGAAAGCUCGGGGCUCAACCCCGAGUCGGCCGUGCGAACUGGCCUGCUCGAGCACUGUAGAGGCAGAUGGAAUUCCGGGUGUAGCGGUGGAAUGCGUAGAGAUCCGGAAGAACACCGGUGGCGAAGGCGGUCUGCUGGGCAGUUGCUGACACUGAGGCGCGACAGCGUGGGGAGCAAACAGG